rnacentral:rRNA from 1 species
CUACGGGUCGCACCAGUGGGGAAUUUUGCGCAAUGGGGGAAACCCUGACGCAGCAAUACCGCGUGAGUGAAGAAGGCCUUUGGGUCGUAAAGCUCUUUUCUUGGGGAAGAUAGUGACGGUACCCAAGGAAUAAGCACCGGCUAACUCCGUGCCAGCAGCCGCGGUAAUACGGAGGGUGCAAGCGUUGUUCGGAUUUACUGGGCGUAAAGGGCACGUAGGCGGCACAGCAAGUUAAGGGUGAAAUCCCGGGGCUCAACUCCGGAACUGCUCUUAAAACUGCUGAGCUAGAGAUAGUCAGAGGCGGGUGGAAUUCCAGGUGUAGAGGUGAAAUUCGUAGAUAUCUGGAGGAACACCGGUGGCGAAGGCGGCCCGCUGGGGCUAUUCUGACGCUAAGGUGCGAAAGCGUGGGGAGCAAACGGGAUUAGAUACCCGAGUAGUC